AUUGAACGCUGGCGGCAUGCUUUACACAUGCAAGUCGAACGGUAACAGGCCGCAAGGUGCUGACGAGUGGCGAACGGGUGAGUAAUGCAUCGGAACGUGCCAGUCGUGGGGGAUAACGCAGCGAAAGCUGUGCUAAUACCGCAUACGAUCUAUGGAUGAAAGCGGGGGACCGUAAGGGCUCGCGCGAUUGGAGCGGCCGAUGUCAGAUUAGGUAUAUGGUGGGGUAAAGGCUCACCAAGCCAACGAUCUGUAGCUGGCCUGAGAGGACGCCCAGCCACACUGGGACUGAGACACGGCCCAGACUCCUACGGGAGGCAGCAGUGGGGAAUUUUGGACAAUGGGCGCAAGCCUGAUCCAGCAAUGCCGCGUGCAGGAAGAAGGCCUUCGGGUUGUAAACUGCUUUUGUACGGAACGAAACGGCGAGCUCUAAUACAGUUUGCUAAUGACGGUACCGUAAGAAUAAGCACCGGCUAACUACGUGCCAGCCGCCGCCGUAA
rnacentral:rRNA from 1 species